CAAUAUGUGGGAGUAACUCUCGGCGCCGGUUGUUUCAGGAUCGCAGAGUGACGCGGAAACCCAGUGACAGUAAGCGGGUGCUAGUACCUCCGACGAGAUGAGUGACUGCCCGGGAGGGCUGGAGGAAGCUUGUAUGAGACAGCUGGCCCGAGCCCGAACCAGGCCAAUCAACGUGCUGGCCCGAGCCCGGCCCGGGCCCACAGUCAAAAGUCUGAGCCCAUCCCAGGCCUGGGCUUUCGGCUCAGCAAAGUCUGCGGAUCUGGUUAUGCUUCCUGUACGAGACAGAUCACGAAGCGGUUGCUGACUGACCAGUUGGGGCGAAAAUUUUUGUGGGAAGGACGUAAGAGAAAGUUGACAUUCAGGAACCUUCACCUUGCUGAGUGCAUCAUAAAUGCAGUGCAGAGCUGCCAUAAAUGUGAAGACUUCAAGGUAGAAACCAUGGUCACGGAUUAACUUCGCCACGCACCUGCCUGACAUCAGUCAUCUCAAGUGGAACAUUCUCCACCACAGGAGAGAGAAAUGUGAACUGCCUUAAGUGGGCCUUCAUUGCGCUGAGCUUUUUAUUAUGUUUAUCAGACAUUUUUUUUAAGCAAAGUAUCCUGCAUUGUUCAGUAAGUAUACUUUAUUUUGAAAACCUCAUGCUGUCUAUGCAGCAUU